rnacentral:piRNA from 1 species
UCACUGCGUGCAAUGCAGCCUAUGUUGAAUU